rnacentral:rRNA from 1 species
GACGAACGCUGGCGGCGUGCUUAACACAUGCAAGUCGAACGGUAAGGCCCUUCGGGGUACACGAGUGGCGAACGGGUGAGUGACACGUGGGUGAUCUGCCCUGCACUUCUGGAUAAGCCUGGGAAACUGGGUCUAAUACCGGAUAGGACCACUGCCUGCAUGGGUGGUGGUGGAAAGCUUUUGUGGUGUGGGAUGGGCCCGCGGCCUAUCAGCUUGUUGGUGGGGUGAUGGCCUACCAAGGCGACGACGGGUAGCCGGCCUGAGAGGGUGACCGGCCACACUGGGACUGAGAUACGGCCCAGACUCCUACGGGAGGCAGCAGUGGGGAAUAUUGCACAAUGGGCGCAAGCCUGAUGCAGCGACGCCGCGUGAGGGAUGACGGCCUUCGGGUUGUAAACCUCUUUCAGCACCGACGAAGCGCAAGUGACGGUAGGUGCAGAAGAAGGACCGGCCAACUACGUGCCAGCCGCCGCCGUAA